rnacentral:rRNA from 1 species
CAAUAGCGUAUAUUAAAGUUGUUGCAGUUAAAAAGCUCGUAGUUGGAUUUCUGGGAGAGUGGCGAUGUCCGCUUAACGUGUGUGCAGCGACGCUCUUCCAUCCUUCUGUUAGCGUCUCUCGGCAUUCAUUUGUCGGUGGCGGGCUCAGAUAUUUUACCUUGAGAAAAUUAGAGUGUUUCGGGCAGGCUAGGCCGGAAUACAUUAGCAUGGAAUAAUGGAAUAGGACUACGGUCUCUUUGUUGGUUUGAGGGACUGCAGUAAUGAUUAAUAGGGAUAGUUGGGGGCAUUAGUAUUUAAUUGUCAGAGGUGGAAUUCUCAGAUUUGUUAAAGACUAACUUAUGCGAAAGCAUUUGCCAAGGAUGUUUUCAUUAA